rnacentral:rRNA from 1 species
AUUGAACGCUGGCGGAAUGCUUUACACAUGCAAGUCGAACGGCAGCACGGGAGCAAUCCUGGUGGCGAGUGGCGAACGGGUGAGUAAUAUAUCGGAACGUGCCCAGUCGUGGGGGAUAACGCAGCGAAAGCUGUGCUAAUACCGCAUACGAUCUACGGAUGAAAGCGGGGGAUCGCAAGACCUCGCGCGAUUGGAGCGGCCGAUAUCAGAUUAGCUAGUUGGUGGGGUAAAGGCUCACCAAGCCAACGAUCUGUAGCUGGUCUGAGAGGACGACCAGCCACACUGGAACUGAGACACGGUCCAGACUCCUACGGGAGGCAGCAGUGGGGAAUUUUGGACAAUGGGCGCAAGCCUGAUCCAGCCAUUCCGCGUGCAGGAUGAAGGCCUUCGGUUGUAAGCACUUUGUUGGGUAGAACCGGUCGGAUUAAUACUUCGGCUGAAUGACGGUACCCAAAGAAUAAGCACCGGCUAACUUCGUGUCCAGAC